ensembl:lncRNA
GUGAGUUGUGUGAGUGUAGUGAAUGUGGAUGUGAGGUGUGUGAGUGUAGUGGAUGUGGAUGUGAGUGUAGUGAAUGUGGAUGUGAGUUGUGUGAGUCUAGUGAAUGUGGAUGUGAGUUGUGUGAGUCUAGUGAAUGUGGAUGUGAGGUGUGUGAGUCUAGUGAAUGUGGAUGUGAGGUGUGUGGGUCUAGUGAAUGUGGAUGUGAGUCUAGUGAAUGUGGAUGUGAGGUGUGUGGGUCUAGUGAAUGUGGAUGUGAGGUGUGUGGGUCUAGUGAAUGUGGAUGUGAGGUGUGUGAGUCUAGUGAAUGUGGAUGUGAGUUGUUUGAGUCUAGUGAAUGUGGAUGUGAGGUGUGUGAGUCUAGUGAAUGUGGAUGUGAGGUGUGUGAGUCUAGUGAAUGUGGAUGUGAGGUGUGUGAGUGUAGUGAAUGUGGAUGUGAAAGGUGUGUGAGU